CCACAAAGUUGCCCAGACUGGGCUCCAACUUGCAACCCUCCUGCCUCAGCCUCCCAGAGUGCUGGGAUCACAGGCUUGAAGUGCCAGGCUUUGGAUCUGCUUUGCGCCCCGGGGGACACGUGAAGAACAGGGACAGGAGACGGCGCCUCCCCGCCCUGGGGCCCCAGGGGCUGUAACGGCGAAGCCCUCGGUCGGUGUACCGACCCCCACGCUACCUGAAGUCAGUCCAGACCGUCCGCCUGCCUCCAGGCUGUCCGUGCCUCUCCUGCCCCGCACCCCGUAGCUCAGCUCGCAAUUCCGCCUUCCUCCUGCCGUGGCGUUCAAGGCCCCAGAAGGAGCCGUCGCCUCCGACCACUGAGAUGCCCCCUGGCCCAUGGAGCCUUGCGGCUGCUCAGCAUUCAUCCAGUGUGUGCAUGUUAACACAAUCGGGCGAUCAUUUGAGAUGUGAGGCCACACCCCUGGCCGGGGGCCCCCGAAAACACACACCAGCCAUGGAUGUGAGUGGGAUCUGGGACGUAGCAGAGCAGGGAGUCCUCCCUUCUGCAGGCCUGGUGCAGACUCCGCAGACAGAGAAGGGAUGGAGCUGUGAGGCUGAGGGUGCAGCAUGUGCAAAGGGUCUGAGGCCAGGCCCACCUGCACCUGGAGGGUCAGUCAGGGUUUACUGCUAGGAUCUGAGAGCCUCAUUCAUACUAAAGUGUAAAGGGCUGGAACACAAGCCAAGUGAGAAGUGCAUGCUACUUCCUCCGUUCAGGGCCAAGCCCCGAGGCAGGGACCUGCUUCCUUGCCUGACCCUGGCCGUGGGGCUCUGCUGCCCCCUGGUGGCGACGGGGGCGCCUGGUGACCUCUGCGCCAGCACCAAACUCUGCUUCCUUUUUCCCUUGAUAAAACCCACUCAGCGGCUGGCAACCCGAGGUCUCUCCCGCUCUCGCUGUCCAGGCCUGGCAGAGGCCAAGCACUCCGGGCUGUGGCCUGACACUGCCAGGAGCCCUGGGCGACGCACCCUGAGGCUCCGGGCCCGCGUGUUCUCCUGCGGCUCCCAGGCCACGUCCCCGAGCGCCCCCACCCUCGGCCUGGGUGCUGCUCCACCUGCCCCCAGUCUCAGCAAACCCACCCCUGCCCCAGACACCUCCCCGUGCAGGCAGCCAAAGAGGCUGGAAAAACCUGCCCCAGGACGUUCACACCGGCUGGCACCAAUCUUCCGCAGCCCACAUGUCACCUUCCGGCCGGUCCCCACUGGAAAAUGUCUCAUUUAUCCAUCCCUGUGUUCACGGGUCACCUCUCCCUGGGGACUGAGAACCCCCCCAGAGACAGCUUUCUUCUUGCUCACAUCUAUGCUCUCCGCAUCUGGCACCAAUAGGCACCUACUAAGUGCUUGCUCUUUGCACGAGGGUAUCUGCCUGUUGCCUGGCACCGACUGUGGGCUCCAUAUUGCUCUCUCUUCUCAUUAAAAGCCAAUGGAAACAGC